AAGGAUGUGAGAAAAAUGAGAUAUGAUAUUUGGGAUUAGAUUUAAUUACAUACAAUAUACAAGGUAUAUAGGUGUACAAAAAAUAUAUUUUUACCCAUCUGGAGGCAUUCCUGUACUCGCUGUAGUUCCCAGCUUGACCACCGUGUAUUAUAUUAUAGGUAGUAAUAUAUAGGAAAAAGUGAUGGAACGAAAACUCAAAUGCGAAAUAACGGGGAGGAAAAUAAAGAUUUUGAAAACCGAUAAUAUAUAGUUAUAUAACUAAACACAAUUAUUUUAAUAUUAACAAGUAUGCAUAUGACUCUCUAAUUAUUAUUAAUUAUUAGAAAAGACCGCGGAGGUACCUCGACUGCAAGCUCCCGCCAAGGGAUAUUUUCCGUGUUCCCGCGAACCAUCGUCGGAACGAAUCCUUACACGUUCGCUUAUUUACUUAUUGGAUUACAAUAUAUUGUAAAAUACGUAUAGCCGACUGCAAAGCCUUAAAAAUGUCUGUGUAUUUCAUUUUAGCCGUCGCAAACGGUAUAGCUAGGUAUGGAUACCUAAACCUAGGCAUAGAUGACAGUCAGACGGUGGGUUUACAGGACUUUGUGUAUAUAUAUAUGCACUCGACUUACAACCGUAAAAAAAGAAGAGAGAAAGGUUUUGUUUGUCUGUUUUUUUUUUUUUUUAACCCGUAAGGAGGUCACGAUACGACGACGACACUACGGACAAUAACUCGGUUUAUCGCCAAACAAAUAUUAUAUCAGGUAAUAUGCCUGGGUAUACAUACAAAACUAAUAUAUCACACACACA